CCCUUAGAUGUUCUGGGCCGCACGCGCGCUACACUGAUGCAUUCAACAAGCCUAGCCUUGACCGAGAGGUCCGGGUAAUCUUUGAAACUGCAUCGUGAUGGGGCUAGAUUAUUGCAAUUAUUAAUCUUCAACGAGGAAUGCCUAGUAAGCGUGAUUCAUCAAAUCGCGUUGAUUACGUCCCUGCCCUUUGUACACACCGCCCGUCGCUCCUACCGAUUGAAUGUGUUGAUGAGGAGCUCGGAUUGGCAGCAGUUGGUGGUUCGCCACCGGCUAUUGCUGAGAAGUCCUCCAAACCGCCCCAUUUAGAGGAAGGAGAAGUCGUAACA
rnacentral:rRNA from 1 species